rnacentral:rRNA from 1 species
UACGUAGGGGGCAAGCGUUGUCCGGAGUCAUUGGGCGUAAAGCGCGUGUAGGCGGCCCGGUAAGUCCGCUGUGAAAGUCGGGGGCUCAACCCUCGAAUGCCGGUGGAUACUGUCGGGCUAGAGUGCGGGAGAGGCGAGUGGAAUUCCUGGUGUAGCGGUGAAAUGCGCAGAUAUCAGGAGGAACACCAAUUGCGAAGGCAGCUCGCUGGAACGUAACUGACGCUGAGACGCGAAAGCGUGGGGAGCAAACAGG